GCCUGGGUGGCUCAGUCAGUUAAGCGUCUGACUUCGGCUCAGGUCACGAUCUCACGGUUUGUGAGUUUGAGCCCCACCUUGGGCU
rnacentral:tRNA from 1 species